GACGAACGCUGGCGGCGUGCUUAACACAUGCAAGUCGAACGGAAAGGCCCUGCUUUUGUGGGGUGCUCGAGUGGCGAACGGGUGAGUAACACGUGAGUAACCUGCCCUUGACUUUGGGAUAACUUCAGGAAACUGGGGCUAAUAUCGGAUAAGAGCUCCUGCUGCAUGGUGGGGGUUGGAAAGUUUCGGCGGUUGGGGAUGGACUCGCGGCUUAUCAGCUUGUUGGUGGGGUAGUGGCUUACCAAGGCUUUGACGGGUAGCCGGCCUGAGAGGGUGACCGGCCACAUUGGGACUGAGAUACGGCCCAGACUCCUACGGGAGGCAGCAGUGGGGAAUAUUGCACAAUGGGCGGAAGCCUGAUGCAGCAACGCCGCGUGCGGGAUGACGGCCUUCGGGUUGUAAACCGCUUUCGCCUGUGACGAAGCGUGAGUGACGGUAAUGGGUAAAGAAGCACCGGCUAACUACGUG
rnacentral:rRNA from 1 species